UCGCUUUUGCGUUGGUUUGACAUUUAGCAAAAACAAUAAGAAGAAUCAUUUCAUCCUGCUGCUGAAAAAAAGGGAAAUUCAUACGUAAACAAAAAUCUAGUAGUGGGUGCAGUACUGUAUAUUCCAGGUAUGUGUGAGUAAAAACUAAAUAUUGACUUAGAAUAAAGCACACACUCGUUUGUGAACUUUUCCAUCAGAUGGAAACACUGGAGAACAAAUGUUUGAAAGUAAAAGAUUUAUCAUUAAAAAGUGUCUCAAUCUACUUCCAGUCUCCUCAGCUUUUUUUUUCUUAUGACCAAAUGAGAAGUCAUUUAAAAACUAGAGCAACAAUUUACCAAAAUUAAUUUAGAGGAAGAAUAAGCGCUGAUGAAAAAGUUCUGCAGCCAUAAAGCUCAUCUCAAAUCUCAUCCAGGGCUUUGACGGAGCCGUCUCUCAAUCUGGAGCGACUUUAUUACAGCAAAUCAUUUAAAUGAGCUUCAUCUGCAUCGCUCCCUCAGCAGCUGUACGAAGAAGACGGCGCCGUACGGGGGCAGACGGGAGAUAAAUCAGAGCCAGUGAUCCCAACAGAACUGCAGCAGAAUCUGAUUUGAUUUUGGAACGUGCCUCUGGAGGUCGACAGACCAGACGCUUCAGUUACAUGUUCUUUGUCUAUCAUUGAACGUUUAUCAGGUAUUAUGUCACAUAAAUCAAGGAUUGGACGGUGGAAUGACUUGGAUUCACGGUGAACAUCAUUCAUUCAUUCAUUUAUGUUCAGACUUUGUCCUAACUUGGAAUUCUGGGUAAAAUCUGGUGAGGCUCCUGAACAGAGAGCUUGAUUGGAGCUGAGCAGCAGCAGCUGUGACACAGCAGCUCAUCUGCAGCUUGUUUCACCAUCAGUCUCCAUGUGCAGGAGACGGCAGACCAGAGCGCCCUCCACUGGGCCUGAUCGUGGUUCAACCCUGAGUGGUUGACAGGUACACUGUGUUCGAGGGUGAGGGGCCUGUGAGCUUCAAGGAACUGAAACGAUCGACCUCUAGUAAACCCCCGGGAUCGAACAGUUGAUGUUUCUGCUGUAAGCUGACACGCCGACGCCAUUUUUAGCUCUGCGGCUCAUGCCAGUGGAGAGCAGACUUCUCCGAUCUGACCUCCUGACCCCAGGCCACAGCUCAGGU